GCGCCUCCAAGCCAUGAUGGAGGCGCGGCGCACAGCUCAGUAACACGUGGUUAACCUGCCCUUGGGACGGAAACACCCCCGGGAAACUGGGGCUAAUUUCCGAUAGGUGAAGGCUCCUGGAAUGGAUCUUCGCCUAAAGGGCGCUUAGGCCAUGCUUCUAGGCGCUGCCCAAGGAUGGGGCCGCGGCCGAUCAGGUUGUUGGUGAGGUAAUGGCUCACCAAGCCUUUAACCGGUUCGGGCCGUGGGAGCGGGAGCCCGGAGAUGGGCACUGAGACAAGGGCCCAGGUCCUACGGGGCGCAGCAGUCGCGAAAACUCCGCAAUACGCGAAGGCGUGACGGGGCUAUCCCGAGUGCCGUCCGCUGAGGAUGGCUUUUCCCCAGUGUAGAUAGCUGGGGGAAUAAGGAGAGGGCAAGUCUGGUGUCAGCCGCCGCGGUAAUACCAGCUCUCCGAGUGGUGGGGACGUUUAUUGGGCCUAAAGCAUCCGUAGCCAGCUGAGCAAGUCCCCAGUUAAGUCCAGCGAUUUAAUCGUUGGACUGCUGGGG
rnacentral:rRNA from 1 species